rnacentral:rRNA from 1 species
GACAGCAGCCGCCACGGUAAUACGGAGGGUGCAAGCGUUAAUCGGAAUUACUGGGCGUAAAGCGCACGCAGGCGGUUUGUUAAGUCAGAUGUGAAAUCCCCGAGCUUAACUUGGGAACUGCAUUUGAAACUGGCAAGCUAGAGUCUUGUAGAGGGGGGUAGAAUUCCAGGUGUAGCGGUGAAAUGCGUAGAGAUCUGGAGGAGUACCGGUGGCGAAGGCGGCCCCCUGGACAAAGACUGACGCUCAGGCGCGAAAGCGUGGGGAGCAAACAGGAUUAGAUACCCCAGUAGUCCCUGUCUCUUAUAC